AGUGGUCCCAGGAUUGGUGGCACAACCUUCAACCUUAGCUCUCAGGAGGCUGAGGUGGUAGAUCUUUGUAAGUUUGAGGCCAACCUGGUCUACACAGAGAGCUCUAAGUCAGCCAAGGCUACACAGAAAUGUUGUCUCAAACAAAAACCAAACCCCAGGAUGAGGCUGUGAAUUUGUGAGGCAGAAUCUACAGGCAAUGAAUGAGUGGCGACCCCAGGCAACUAAGAAAUUUGUUCCAUGCCCCACAGCUUGUGAGUGUGAAACUCCAUGGAUGUGAAAUGUAGCUUGUAACUUCACACCUUCACUGGGGUAGCACACUGACCUGAAGCUCAAGACCACAUGAAACCCUACAGACUCCGGUCCUCCCUGCUCCCUGUUCCUCUACGUCGCCGCUGACUCUGUUUCAGUUUCCACCUGGUCUCCAGCAUGAGCUUUAGACAGCAGUCACUCUGACUCUGGAGCCCAACCGAAACUGACCAGAUCAAUUGGCUUUCAGAAACGGGAAUGUGACAAGUGACACCAACUAAACCUCCUCUAGAGACUGUGCCACGUGCAUAGAAAGACACACUGUAGAGCGAGGGGGACAGAGUUAUGCCCGGGUUCUCUGGACCGUAGCUUUGGA